rnacentral:rRNA from 1 species
AGCAGCCGCGGUAAUUCCAGCUCCAAUAGCGUAUAUUAAAGUUGUUGCAGUUAAAAAAGCUCGUAGUUGAAUUUCGGAGUUUGUCGGUUGGUCGGGCUUCACUGUCCGCACUGGCCUGAUGGAUUCCUACCUUCUGAAUAACCAGCAUGCUAUUAAGUUAGUGCGUUGGGGAAGCAGAGCUAUUACCUUGAAAAAUUGAGUGCUUAAAGCAGGCUUAUGCUUGAAUAGAUUAGCAUGGAAUAAUAAAAUAGGACGGCAUGGUUCUAUUUUGUUGGUUUCUAGGAUCACCGUAAUGAUUAAUAGGGAUAGUUGGGGGCAUUAGUAUUCAAUUGUCAGAGGUGAAAUUCUUGGAUUUAUUGAAGACUAAACUUCUGCGAAAGCAUUUGCCAAGGAUGUUUUCAUUAAUCAAGAACGAAAGUUAGGGGAUCGAAGACGAUCAGAUACCGUCGUAGUCUUAAACCAUAAACUAUGCCGACUAGGGAUCGGACGAUGUUAAUUUUAAUGACUCGUUCGGUACCG